rnacentral:rRNA from 1 species
UACGGAGGGGACUAGCGUUGUUCGGAAUUACUGGGCGUAAAGCGCACGUAGGCGGAUUUGUAAGUCAGGGGUGAAAUCCCGAGGCUCAACCUCGGAACUGCCUUUGAUACUGCAAAUCUCGAGUCCGGAAGAGGUGAGUGGAACUCCUAGUGUAGAGGUGGAAUUCGUAGAUAUUAGGAAGAACACCAGUGGCGAAGGCGGCUCACUGGUCCGGUACUGACGCUGAGGCACGAAAGCGUGGGGAGCAAACAGGG